GGUGCUAUAGUCUAGAUGGUCAGGACAUGGGACUUUGAUUGACUCGUAUGUUCUCCCAGAACCUCGGUUCGAAUCCGAGUAGCACCA
rnacentral:tRNA from 1 species